rnacentral:lncRNA from 1 species
CCAAACAUCCUAAUUAAGAUAGUAGUCCAAAGGAUAAUGAAUUUGGAACUAAAUAUAUUUUAUUUCAAUAUAGCUCUUACAUGGAAGCGCUAACUAGCAUCUACAAAAGCUCUCCAUAGUCUGUAAGAAUAUCAAUAUCAUGUCCAGUGGAAGAGGGCGGCACAUCAACCCAUCCACCAUUUACCAUGGAAGACUGUCCUAGAUCCGUACCGCUAGAGCCUAAGUAAGCAUCCAUCCUUAGGAAACUAUUGUAGUACGACUGAUCUGAUAGAGGAAAACCCCAUUGUUCAGUGUUAAAUGGGUCAUCAAUAGAAAAGGCAUUGCCACUCGAGUACCCCAAUAGUGGAGAGGCCUCCAAAUUCUGCCCGGAUGUUGAGUCAUGGUUUGCGUCAUUUUGUUGUGGUUGAACUACGUUGCAAGUACUUUCAUAGUUCUGAACAUGCAACUCCUCUGGUGGAGUUUGCUCAUGUACCUGAUUUGUUAUGGGUUGGACAUGGGAAGCCAAGGGUGGAGCUAAAGAUGGUGGUGCAGAAUGGAACAUUGGUACCUGCAUAGGAAAAAGUGGUCCCGAAGUUUGUUCUGGUUGUGAUGGUGGUGGAUCUAAAGGCAGCUGGAGUUGUGAGAGAUUGUGAGGCCAUGGUGACUGCAUAAGUGAAUGAGUAGUACUCAAAUGAUCCGCCGGCAGAACACUUGGUAGUUGCAGAUCUUGUGCCACACAUGUGCCACCGGUCUUGUCUUCAUGACCAUGCAACGGAGGUAGCCGGAAUCUAAUAUCUUUUUGGACCCGAGAGAGCUCACUGAAGAGCUUGUUCAGAUCUUCAAGACUGAGAUCUUUUUCCUUCGUGAAGAUAAGAUUUGCCACCAUACCUGGAUUCUCUUUUUGUAUAUUUUUCAUACGAAGGAUGGAAAGUUGGUUUUUGUCUUCCUCGGUCAUGUUCUCCAUGUCCAACCGAGCCACCUCGUUCUGUAGGCUUCCAAUCCUAGCAGUGGUUGCCUCGUCGGCAGAGGGAACUACUGGUGGAGCUCCAAAUAGGAAAUCAUCAACAAUGGGAUCGGCCAAUGGCGUCCCAAAUGAGUGCAUCUUUCCAUUGUUUGUUUCUAGGACGACCGCAACCCUAGCCCUAGUGAGGGCAGAGAUGUCAGUCGCCCUCUUGAACAAACCGGAACGUCGCUUGUAGAAGGUGAGAUCACGGUCUUUGUCAUUGUGGAUGUAUGCCACACCUGACCGCCGCUCUUUCCUCGGCAUACUAAUGUGGACAAAGAGGAAGAAACUAACUACUACAAAUAGGAAGCACAAGGAUCUACAGAAAACUAGAGAUUUAGGGGUAUUGUUGGCUAACCACAUAUUGGUGUAGGAUAUGAGAAGAUGUACUCCCUUAUAUAGAAUUAAAAGGGUUGUAUGGUAGUGCUAUUUGACUAUACAAAGACCAUGUAAAUCUUUAGUAAAAAUUAACAUACAUAACUCAUAAAAGGUGCUAUUUAUGGAUACUAUUAACUAUCAUCCAAAUAUACAUAUGUGAGUGCAUCCACAUCUUUCUUUGCAACCACUGAUAUGUAUUUCUUCUGAUGUAAGUAUUAACACUUCUAAAAAUAGAAAUAAUAAAUUAUUGCCAUUUGACCAUAUCCAUAUCCUUAUCUAGAAGUAUUAAUGGGAGUUAAACCCAACUAAGUUUUACUCUAAUAUACAAAAAUAAUUGUGGUCAAAUUUAUUUGGUUGUUAAUUGCGUCCAAAUCCUUUGUUGAUCACAUUGAUUACAUCCUAAUGUAUCAGUGAUCAUAUUGAUUACAUCCAUAUCCUGUACUAGGAACUACCUAAUCUAGAAGUGGUCGUCCUUUAAUCCAUAAUAUCCAAGUAUAACAUGGUCCUUGCUUUGGGGCUUAACUUAAAAAUUGAGAUUCCAACUAGGAAAGAUACACUAAGAGCAACUAGAAAAUACUAGGACAUUUGUUAAGUCAUGGUAUAACACAUAAGUUACUCGGAGCAUCGACCUGCCUCCUUGGUAAGCCCAGUUCCCGCGGAAGAUGUGUGUUUAUCGGUUACACAUGUAUAUCUUGGGCCCUAACUUUUUAUGGCCCAUAAAAUAAUAUGUGUAAGGCUUUUUCUGGAAGGAUCCAACACAACCUAAUCUAUUCUGUAUUAAAAGUAAUUGACGGGCUCACCAGAAAAAGAUAAAAAUGCUAGAAAAUAACUCAAAAUAGAAACAACUAACUAUCUAUCUAUUAUAUAUUAAAAGAAAUUGCUAGGCUCACCAGAAAAAGGAUAAAAAUGCUAGAAGAUCUCUCAAAAAUCAAAAACAUCCGACUGUCUAUUUAAUAGACUAAUAUUGUAUAACCAUUAGACUAGUUUUAAGUGAAAUAAUUACCCACCAUUGCCAUUAUAACAAAAAGGUAUUUCGUCUAACUUAUUAGGACGUGGGCUGAUGCCAUAUUAUAAUGAAAAAAAUGUUAUGUUCCCAUAGUACAAAAAGGACUUCUCACACAUGAACACAGUGGCAUCAAUGUUCAUGUAAAUAAUCUUUAAUUGUGAUUAAUUCCCCCUUGGUAGAGUACCUGAAAAAGCCUCCAGAUUGGAUCUCCCCGGAGCAGAGAGGUGGGCGGCGCAAAAAUCAUCUGUUAAUAUUUCUGAGGUUUUUGGGAGUAUAUAAAGCCAGCGGAAGAAAGAUGCGAUGGAGGCAACCUCCUGUGGCAUGUGGCCUAGGGGGGACCAGGUGGGUCUAGGUCCCUCCGGCUUCAUUUCUCCAAAAAACUUAGUUUUUUUCUAGUUUUUUGGUCCCUAAAAGUUGAUUUUUUUAGAAAAUUCAAAAAAACAACAACUGGCACUUUGCACCAAAUUAAUAGGUUAAAAAUGGUGACAGAAGCGAGGUUCUUCCUACCAAUUAGUAAUGGGCGGCUCCCAUUACGUAGAGCUAAAAUGGUGACAAGCACGAAUAAAUCGUUAUAUUUCUCCAAGGCUCAUUAAUAAUGCAUGGUACUAUUCGGUUGGAUAGCCACACAGAAGUCAUGUACUCCUUUUCAAUUUUGAGGGGAUGACUCUUGUCCUGUAUCCAUCUGUCUGGUGACUAGCACGAAUAAAUUGGUGUCUCUCUCUACAACAAAUGAUUGAUAGUACUAUUCGGCCAGACCAGCAGACAUAAGCAAGGUACCCCCUAGUUCCCUGCCGAUUCAAGGCGGAUGGCUGCUGGUAAUAUGUGCAUUAAUCCAAACUGAAAUGGUGACUAGCAUGAAUAAAUCGAUGUCUUUAUUUUUGGCUCUUCAAUACUUCCACUUUUCGAGUAGGUUGUCCGAAAACAUGAGGUGGCCAGCUCCUGAUAUGGAGCCGCAUGCACAUUAAUCCAUGCUAAAAUGGUGACUUGCACAAAUAUAUCGAUCUUUUUCUCUAGGGCUCAUUAACACUUGAUGGUGUAGUUUGGUUGGACAACUAGAUAGAAAGCAAGGUGUUCCACGAUUUCUUGUCCAUAUAGGGUGGAUGGCUCCAUGCACGACCUAUCACACACUAAUCCGGGCUCGUCUAACACGAAUAAAUGGAUGUCUUUCUAUAUGGAUCAUUAAUACUUGAUGGCGCUCUUUGGUUAGGCGGUGUACAAAAGCGAGGUACCCCCUUCUGAUUUCGGGUGGUUGUGGGGCCACUAGACGGGCACAAGCAAGAUACUCCCUGUCAUUGGGAGGUAUAUUUUAAAUAUUAUUUUUAUUACAUAAAUUACAAAAAUAUAACCCUAAAAUAUAAUAUUUCACCAGUAGUACUCCGACAUGUCGGUGCCAACAAUGACAGAUAUCGUUGGCACUACCAAUGAUACAUCUGUCACAUGGGCCAUCAUCGGUGCAUCUUGCAUCAGCCCUCCCACAUGACACACUCAUACAGAGCUAGCUAUGUUAGAGCAUGUACAAUGGUGCUAUCUUCACAAUGUCACCUAAGAUCACUGCUGAGUUAGAAAAGGGCGAAUGGAGGAAAAAAACGCUUGCCAUCUCUUACCUAAGAGACGGUCUCUCAGUAAAGAAGAUAAGACAAUUCCAUCCAUUGUACUAGAUGUCAUCUCUUAGCUACAUAUUUUCAGUUUAGUUUUAACCUUCGCAUUAAUUUAAGAGCAUGUAAACCUUGCUUGUUAGGCUAAGAGCUAAUCCAUUGUAUACUAUGUUUUUAAGCUUCUCCAAAUGACAUACAUAGCAUACGAGAAUAUUGUAACGAAUAACUAUUUGUGUACAAGGUGCUCGGGGUAUUAUGAAGAUAUAAAGCAUGUGCUAUUUGAAUGUAAUAUUGCAAGGGAGGUUUGGAACAAUCUUGGUCUAUUGGAACUCACCGAAGAGGCAUGCAUGCUGGACCAUUCAGGUAGUGUUUAUUUCAAAAAUUCAUGAACGUUUUUUAAUUUGCUAAUAUUACUUUUUGAAAGCAUGAUUUUUUUAGUUUGAGAAAAUGUAAAAUUUCAUGAAUUAUUUUUAAUAGGGGAAUAUUUAUAACUUGAUGAGCAUUUUAAAAUAUCCUAAACAUUUAUUUUAAAUACAGAAUAUUUUUUAUAAAGUUGCAAACAUAUUUAAAAUCCAUGAAUUAUUUUUGAAACUUGGAAGCAUUUAUUAAAAUUCUUGAAAAUAUGGUGAAAAUGAGUAAAGUUUGUCAGCAUUUGUAGGUGAACUUUUAGGUAGCUUUCUACUCCCUCCGUCAAAUAAUAUAUAAUCACCGUGUUUUUGACAAAAAUGUCCUAUGCUAUGGGACAGAGGAAAAAGUAAACAGCUCAAAAAUAGAUCCGUACAACCGAAAAAAGCCCAGCGAGAUAUAACCCAAGCUCGCCUCUGAGCCCACCUUAGUGGGUGGACCCAAUGGUCUAGAUUUGGAAAGGUUGUACUAAGUGGCACAGACUUGUUUUAGAACCAAUUUCUCAAAAACAAACUUGUUAUACAAGCUUCCGAGUGAUUUUUUCCUUUUUUUGGUGUUUUUUUGUAUACUUCAUUUUUACUUCCUGCAUGUUUUCUCUAUUGGUUUUCAUCACUCUAUUUAUUGAAUUUUAUGUUUUUCAUUCCUUUCCUUUUUUUGCAUUUUUUAAAUACAUGUUGACAAAUUUCAUAUACAUGUUGAACAUAUUUGGAUACAUGUUAAACAUUUUCCAAAUACAAUUUGAAUAUUUUUUUAAAUAUACAUUGAACGCUUGACAAAUGUACAUUAAACAUCUUCAGAAUACAAUGUGAAAUUUUCUUAAACACACAAUGACCAUUUUUCAUAAAUGCCAUGAAUAUCAUUUUUAGUCGUGCAAACAGUUUUAAAGUGAUAUUGAAAUUUCUUCAAAUUCAUGAACCUUUUUGAAUGGUAUGAAACAUUUUCUAAAUAUUACACAAACAAAUUUUAACAUUAUAUGAAUUGUUUUUUAAAAUGCUGCGAACUUAUGUUUAAACACAUGAACAUCUUUUAAAUAUGAUAAUCAUUUUUUGAAUAAUAUGAGUGUUUUCUACAAACUAUGCCAAUAAUCUUUUACAUUACAUGAACAUCUGUUAACGCUGAUCAAUUUAGGGAUGACUAUUCGUCACCCUGGAUNNNNNNNNNNNNNNNNNNNNNNNNNNNNNNNNNNNNNNNNNNNNNNNNNNNNNNNNNNNNNNNNNNNNNNNNNNNNNNNNNNNNNNNNNNNNNNNNUUAACAUCAAUAGACCAUACUUUUACGUUCCAUAAAUUUUGUUUUAUUACAUAUGUAAAAGGAGAAAGUAAGAAAAUAUAAUCACUGUAAAAAAUAUUUUAUGUUACGUAAAAUUACAAAAGCUAAAACACAUUUUAAAAUAUACAUAAAAUGCAAAUUUUCUUGUCUUAUAACCUAUAUUUUUGUUUACUUAUACCAAAUUUAAUGUAGUGAAUUAAUAUGAAUAUAACUAUUUGUAUUUCAAAUGCAAUUUAUUUAUAAAACGAUUGUAAGAUUACCUCAGAUAAAUAGUAACUUAUUUGUGUGAUCAAACACAAAAUAAUGAAAAAGAAGACUCCCUACUGGCAGAGCCAUUAUGUGAUCCCUUGAGGCAAGGCGAGCUACUAUCUCACUAAAAGCUAGACAUAGUGACACCCGUAAUGCAUCACAAUCACAUUGGAUAAGAACCAGGCAAAGUGGGCCGGCUCACUAUGUGCGUGAGGGUUUGCUCAACUACAGCAGGCAGCGGGCUGGUCCACGUUGUUGUCCCCCUAAAAAAGUACAUGAUGCUGACUAAAUAAAAUACUUUUUGUGGCCUUAAAAAACAAAUGGCGAACCGGGAGUCCAAUUGAUGAAAUAUUGAACCAACAACUUCACUGGUUCAGUCACUGGUCCGGUUUAUAAAACUAGAGAAAAGUAUACUUUUCGUCACUUAAUUUUUGGUGGAGUCUAGAUUUGAUCCCUCAGCUUCAAAACCGAACAACUUGCACCCCCAACUAUAGAAACCGGACAAGGUUCGUCCCUGGUCUUGGUUUUGACCGGUUUGGUGCUGACUCACCCUGGUUUUGACCGAUCUCACUCAAAUUCGCGUAAUUUUUUUAUAUCCGUGUACUUUUUGAAAUUCGAAUACACUUUCCAAAUCCGCAUAGUUUUUUCAAGGUCGCAUAUUGUUUUUGAGAAAUAAACAUACUUUUUUCAAAUCAGUGCACAAUGUUGAAAUUUUCGUACCUUUUCCAAAUCCGUGAUUUUUUAACAUUUGUGUAGUUUUUUCAAAUCCACGUAUUUUUCCCAAGUUUGUGUAAUUUUAUCAAAUCCCUGAACUGUUUUUGAAGUUCACGUACUUAUUUCAAAUCCGCAUACUUUUGAAAGUCCGCGUUUUUUUUCAAACUGUGUUCCUUUUCUAGUCCAUGAACUUUGUUUGAAAUUCAUGUAUUGUUUCAAGUUGACAUAAUUUUUCAAAUCCACAUAUUUUUGUGUAAAAAAUCCUAAGCCGCUUACUUUUUCUCAAGUUCGCAUAAAUUUUUGAGAUUCAUGAACUCUUUCCAAAAUAUGUACACGAAUAUCAACAAGUACGUAAAUUUUACAGGAAUUUGAAAAAACUACGUGGACUUUAAAAAAGUUCACAGAUUUGAAAAAGUACACGGAUUUGAAAGCAUUACUCGGACUUGGAAAAAGUACGCGAGUUUGAGUCGGCAUGGUCAAAACCGGGGUGGGACAGCAUCAAACCGAUCAAAACCGUGACCAGGGAUGAAUCUUGUUUGGUUUUAGAAGUUAAGGGGGCAAGUUAUCCGGUUUUAAAAUUCAGAGACCAAAUCUAGACUCCGUCAAAAAUUGAGGAAGAAAAAGUAUACUUUUCUCUUAAAACUAUGGUAGAAAUGGCUGACAAGCCCUACGGACACCAACAAACUAUGUGGUAUCAGUUUAUAUCUGGCUGGAUGGAAACAAAUCAUCUUAUUUCCAGUUCCUUUGGAAAGGUGCCAAACGGUAAAAAUUCCCAACGUAAACACCGCUGCCCAACGGUCGACCAAGCUCCGUCCCAUUCCGUUAUAGUAGGCGGUAGCAGUACUAUCAUCUCCUUCCUCCUGUGACUCCAUCCCCAUCAAUCCCCUUCCCCUCCUGCCGCUGCAUCGGAGGUCCCGACAGAAGUGCCAUGGCGGUCGUCGACGAGCCCAUGAAAGCAUGUCCCCUCUUUUUUUUACAGGUUAAACAGGAGAGCUUCAUUCAUAUGAAAGCAAAUUUGGGGCAGUCACCAAUAGACUGGUCACCAAAAAGCUAGGAGUCUCCUCAAGCCAGCUAUCGAUCACAUUCAAAGUGCAAGCACACUUUGCACAAAGAUGCGCCGUAAUGUUCGCUGACCUGUUUACAUGCUGAAUAUCGAACAAAGUAAAAUUAUUACAUAGCUCUCCUAUCUCUAACAAUAAAGGAGCCACAAUUGAACAAGAAUUGUGGCGAGUGUUCCAUAGCGUCACCAUCUCCAAGCAAUCAGUUUUCAUUACCAUGUGCGAGAAUCCUCAAAGAGAAGCGAAACGAACUCCAUUUCGUAGUGAUAAACCCUCCAUAAUCAAGGGAUCAGAGAUACCCAAGUAUGGUUUACACCAUGCUCCCAGGAGCGCUGAAGAGGAUCGAGCCACCCCUCCUGCACCGCCCCUGCCAUCUGCUAAGUUUAAAGCACCGUCCGUAGUAAUCUUGACAACACCCUCAUCAGGUGGUCUUCAGCCAAGUCCAGGCAGAAUCAUUGCAUGUCGUUGUGGUAGAUGAAGGAGGGCGAUCGCCUCCUUGGUGGCCCUGAUCGUAGUCGUAGGAUUCCUCCCCUCUUCGCCGUGCUUGAUCCGAUUCCGGGAGUGCCAUAUAGACCACAUUAUCGUGGUGAUCUUGGCGCGGUCAUCGUCUGUAAACCGAGGAUCGCAUGUGAUAUCCCGCGCCCAUGAGUCUGGAUGAACACGAGGCAAUCUGAGGCCAAACCAAGCACAUGCUUCUUCCCAGAAGCAUUUUGCAUGUGAACAAUGUAUGAGUGUAUGCUCCAGAUUUUCGUCCAUAGCCAAACAAACUUUGCAUCGACGAAUCUCUGCAAUAUGUUGAUAGUUGAGAGUGACUUCAUCUGGGAGAAUUCCACGAAGAACCCUCCACCAGAACACACUAACCUUUGGAAUGACAUUCAAUUUUCAUAGGGAUUUCCACAACUGUGUAUCAUCCUCUGAGGUUCCGGUAGCCGUCCCUUCCUCUAGAUCAACACGCUCUUUCUGAGUCACGAGAGCACGGUACGCCGUCUUCACAGUAUAGUUCCCCGAUCUUUCGAAUGCCCAUGCAAGAAAAUCAUCUCCUCCUCCUUGCCGAAUAGGGAUGUUCAAUAUUGCUUCAGCAUCAGGAGCAAUGAAAGUAUGCCGAACAAGCUCUUGUCUCCACGACCAGUUAGAUGGAUCUAUUAGCUCGGACACACGCUCAAUGGUCGUAUAUUGUGGCCGAAAAAUAGGAUACAUAGAUAUGGUACCCCGCCAAGUGGCCGACACCGACUUGGGUAUGGUAGCGUGCAUGAAGUCAGUGUCGGGGAAGUAGCGGCCCUUCAAAGCAUGUCCCCUCUCCAACUCUUUUCAUUCAUUCGUUUAUUUAUGCAUACGUAUCUGUACAUCUACUCCUAUUGAUGUACAUGCGCCGGUCCGUGUGGUUGUUUUCAAUUUUCUGAUUGAUGGAUCGAACAUCACCUUAUGGUAGGUUUCUUGAGAACAUCUCUGUAACUGUAUGUGUGUACGAUCGUUGCCUGAACCAUUGGUUUAUUGGACUCGUUUUUACUUGUCCUGUUGGCAACGCGUUCCAUGUACUGACUAGGAACUACCACCUUAUCGCUAAGAGCAUCUUUAGCAGACCCCGCAUCCCGCCGACCCGCAUUUUCCGUUUGCAGUUCACAAAAAAGCUGUUUUGCAGUCAGCAGCAAAAAGCUGCAGAGGCAGACCCCGCAAAGCCGACCCACAUCCUGUUUUAUGGGUUGGAUUUGUGGGGUCUGUCUCUGCGGCCGUCCUCCACCCAGCCCGCAAAAUAUAAAUUUGCACCUCAAUUUGCAUUUCUUUGCAUUUUCAACCACAUUGGAUACAUAGAACAUCACCAAAUCUUUGCUAGAAAAGCAAGACCAAAAAAAUAAGAACCACAAGUAUGCAUUUUAGAAGAUUUCCAACUUCCAUAACUGCUCCUACUAGUUGUAGCAAUAUCUUCUCCAUGAUCUGCGAAUCCUUGAUCUUGCAUUCUUCGUUAUUCUUCUUUGGUUCUAAAGAAGUAGAUGUUGCGUCCUCUCUAGUUGCACAUGCAUGCGCUUCAUUACCUUCGAUUGUACUAAGGAGUGCACGAACGUCUAUCAGUUUUCUUUAAUGUAUUCGCCUUCCCAAAACCAAAAGGAGCAUCCAUAUUCCUACACGCAUGAUGAUGUUCGAAAUGAGCAAACAUAAUUAGCUAUCAAAAUGAGCCGAAUGUAAAACAACACGUACCCCGUCGUUUUCGCAUUUGAAGAACACGUAUCCGGGGUGCUUCGGCGUGCCCGAAGUCAGCCUCGGCACUGUCCGCGGACAGUUGUCGCACUGUAUGAGCGGCAUCAGCGAGUCACAGAUCCUCUGCGCGAGGGCUGAGCCCGGCGGCCGGCCGGCCGAAUCCAUGCGGGCAAACUGUCGGCGGCGGCGAGCGGACGAACCCGCACCUGCAUGCGGCGAUGAGCCUUUGCCGGGGCUGCGCGAGGUGAUCCCCGACCAUUCCAUAGCUUGGCGCGCGAUGAAGCGCCGCAGAUCCGCAAGGUCCCAGCCCGCCGACGCAGGAUGAGAGGGAGGGGCGGCGGAGGGCAACCUCGUUCGUGUGGAGGCCUUUCGGCGUGCUCCGGCCGGCCACUUUCGCCGGAAUCUUGGGCGGCAGCGGGGCAAGGAGGAGAGGGGAGGUGGUUUGGUGGGGAAAAGCGCGGGCUGAAAUGUCCCCCCCCCCCACCAACCGCUCCCGCUAUAUGCAGGGCACCGAUGGGCCGGGGGGACCCACAAAUACGUGGGUUGAGGCCGAGUUUUUGCCGCGCCCCUCAAAUUUUUUUGCGGGCCGGCCGCGUUUGCGGUGUCUGUUCAGGCGGAAUUUUCAUCGCCGGCCCGCAUUUUUGCGGUUAUUUUAUGGGUCGGGACCUUUUGCAGGGUCUGCUAGAGUUGCUCUAAUACAUGAGAUUCGGUGACAAUAUGAAUUGUUGAUCUGAUUGAUCUUUACUCGUGUGCUGCUAGAGUUGCUCUUAUACAUGAGAUUCGGUGACAAUAUGAAUUGUUGAUCUGUUGAUCUUUACUCGUGUGACGAUUACUCUGUCGCAUUAUUUCCAGAGAGAAGGAGGUGAUUCUCCGCAGCCUGUCAAGACCGAGAUCGGGGAGAAGACGUCAUCGACGCUUCAACAUAAAAAAAGUCUCGCUUUGCUCGGAAACAAUGAUAAUGAUUUUGAACCACUGGUGAGAAACUUCAUGGAAUCUCUCAUUGCUGCAUUUUAGGCACUUCAUUCUGCCUUUUCCAAGCUAGCUUCAGUGUUCAGAGUACCUUGUCGAACUGCCUGACAAAUUACAGACAGUUUGCUUACGUUUCUUUUUUGUCCUAGUGCUCAUUGGUAUUGUAGCGUCAACUAAAUAUUAUUGCAAUUUAUUAUGCAAGGAUUUCUUGAGGUUUUUUCAUGCUAUUUUGUUUUUCCAGUUAACUUUGGUCGAUUUUAUUUAUUUAUGAGAGUAACUUUUAGCGAGAAGUGAUUCCUGCACACAGAAAAAGAGAAGGAGAUUGUCGAUUCUACAGAAGAAUAACAAAGAACAAAAUAUCAAUACCGUUUUUUCUGAUUGCUAGCGCUGAUGUCUGUUCGUCUGGUUGUUUCCUAAGAUAUUCAUUUGUGUUGUUCUCUCUUUUUGGAUAGUAUAAAGUUUGCUGAAACUCCCUGUUGUGCUUUUUAAAUUAAGCGAGUAGACGCAGGACGUGUGUACUGCAUGCCAGAUUGUCUAUUUUUGUCUGAGUCAGCAUUGCGCGAUCCGUCUUUGGCAUGUCGUUGCGAGAGGUUUUGUUUCUGUCAUUGUCGAACUGACUAGUAACUACUAGUGCUACUUAUUUCUACAUCACUAGUUAAAAUUUAGUAAUAAAAAUUAUUGUGCAAUUGAGGUUUAUGGUCAUAACAAUGAGUACUCUGACUUUGUUUCCUAACUAAUUUUCCAGAGGAAGGGAUGGACACCAGUGAGUUCCCUCGAGUCUGCCAAGAUCAAGAUGGGGGAGAAGACGGCGUUUUGGCAUCCAAAGCUCACUUUGGUCAACAACGGCGGUUUGGAGAAUGAGCAAGUAAAGCCUCCAGGCUCUCGGUAUGAAGUGGUAGUCCAAAGGACUAUCACUAUUACCUUUAAAGUAAGGAAAUUUUUGGUCAUUCUCAUAAAAGGACGUUCAAUACCUCAGAUUAUCUGUAAUCUCUUGCAGCAUAUGCAAACAGAUAUUGAAUUUGUUGCUUUGUUUUGGUUGAUUACAAUAUUGUCAGAGGAAGAGACGGGGUCCAGCCAAGAGUAAGAUUCAUGACCCAAUGUUUUUUUUUGAAAGAAAAUAUGUACUUUAUUAAUUGGAAAUAAUGAUUACAUCGUCUAUAAGAAGAGGUACAAUAUUCUCCAUAGGCUCCUCAAAUCAAUCUCUAGUUACAGAAACUUUCGCUAGCCUUGCAAGUUCAUGAGCAACCUUAGUAGCUACCCUAUUAUAAUGUUCAAAUCUAGUCAACGGAAAAUCACAUGCCAUGAAGUAGCAAUCCUCGAAGACUGCCGCCGCAACUCCCGUUGAUUGUCCUCCAUUUCUCAUUAUGUCAAUGACUUCCAUAUUAUCAGAGUUAAUAAUAAGACGAUUGCAUCCCGCCUUUUGUGCAAGAAUUAAACUAAACCUCAGAGCCAUCGCUUCUGCUGUUAGUACAUCAGCACACCAAUCGAUCUUCCAAUUUCCACCAACAAUGAAUUUUCCUUUCUCAUCUCUGAGUGCAGCUAAAUCUUCCUCAGGGAAAUAUUUAGCUCUCAAGAUGGUUGCACAUAAAGAUUCAGGAUUAUCAAGAAGACGCCACGCUUGUUUAGCUAAUAGCACCAGGUUGAAAUAGUGUAUAUCUCGGAAGCCCAUACCUCCUUGAUCUUUUGGAACACGCAUUUUCUACCAUGCAAUCCAAUGCAUCCUCUUCUGAUUGUCCUCGUCACCCCACCAAAAUUGCGACAUCGCGUCAAUAAUUCCUUUGCAAAAAAAUUAGGAAUUUUAAAGACGGACAUGGCAUAGGUGGGGAUGGCUUGUACAACAGAUUUGGGCAAAAUUUCCUUCCUAGAGGGUAACAAUUUUUCCUUCCAUCCACUAAUUUUCAUAAUAAUUCGGUCGAUUAGGAACUGGAAACAAUCACUUUUGUCCAUGCCCACAUUUGCCGGCAAACCCAGGUAUUUGUCAUUGAGGGCUUCAGUCAUAAUAUUUAGAAUUGUACAUAUUUGUGCUUUGUCUUCCAUUUUAGUAUUGGGACUAAAGAAUAUACUGGAUUUUUCAACACUAACCAUUUGCCCUGAGGCGGCACAAUACGAAUCCAAGAGUGAUUUCAACGCCUCCACACUCAUGGGAUUGGCUCACAUAAGGAUCAAAGAGUCAUCAGCAAAGAGGAGAUUAGAAAUUGAUGGGGCAUCUCUGCAAACCUUUAUACCUAAAAUGUUUCCAUUCUCCUCCGCAGUAGCUAAAAGGGCGGUCAUCUAAGAAAACCUUGAUUUUUCACAUUCAUUAAUUCAUAUAUGAGAUGCAGUUGUUGUUCUUGGUAGUGUUAUGCAACCAGAAAAAGUAAUGGAUUCUAGUCUCUUGAGUUGAAGUUUGGACUUGUGCUAUCUUUUAAUUUAAUUAUUUAAUGAGCAUGGCUUCUAUUUUUAGUUGACACGCUAAUGUUUGCCUCACAAUAUUCUAAGAGGUGCAUUGUUGUAAAUACAUGUUCCACUUCCUUCAUUCUUAAGAUGACAAUGAUCUAAACAACAACGACAAAAUUGUAGGUACUAAUGAAAAAACAUCAUGGAGACAUGGACCAAGACCUGGAACACUGAGCAUACAUAUUUUUCCCAAAGAUCCUAAUUAAGAUAGUAGUCCAAAGGAUAAUGAAUUUGGAAAUAAAUAUAUUUUUAUUUCAGUAUAGCUCUUACAUGGAAGCGCUAACUAGCAUCUACAACAGAUCUCCAUAGUCUGUAAGAAUAUCAAUAUCUUGUCCAGUGGAAGAGGGCGGCACAUCAACCCAUCCACCAUUUACCAUGGAAGACUGCCCUAGAUCCGUACCGCUAGAGCCUGAGGAAGCAUCCAUCCAUAGGAAACUAUUGUAGCAUGACUGAUCUGAUAGAGCAUAACCCCAUUGUUCAGUGUUAAAUGGGUCAUCAAUAGAAAAAGCAUUGCCAGUCGAGUACCCCAAUAGUGGAGAGUCCUCCAAAUUCUGCCUAGAUGUUGAGUCAUGAUUUGCAUCAUUUUGUUGCGGUUGCACUAUGUUGCAAGGACUUUCAUAGUUCUGAACAUGCAACUCUUCUGGUGGAGUUUGCUCAUGUAUCUGAUUUGGUAUGGGUUGGACAUGGGAAGCCAAGUGUGGAGCUAAAGACGGUAGUGCGGAAUGGAACAUUUGUGGUACCUGCAUAGGAAAAAGUGGUGCCGAAGUUUGUUCUGGUUGUGAUGGUAGUGGAUCGGAAGGUAGCUGGAGUUGUGAGAGAUUGUGAGCCCACGAUGACUGCAUAAGUAAAUGAGUAGUACCCAAAUGAUCUGCCGGCAGAACACUUGGUAGUUGCAGAUCUUGUGCCACACAUGUGCCACCGGUGUUGUCUUCACGACCAUGUAGUGGGGGUAGCCGGAAUCUAAUGUCUUUUUGGACCCGAGAGAGCUCACUGAAGAGCUUGUUCAGAUCUUCAAGACUGAGAUCUUGUUCCUUCGUGAAGAUGAGAUUUGCCACCAUACCUGGAUUCUCUUCUUGGAUAUUUUUCAUACGAAGGAUGGAAAGGUUGUUUUUGUCUUCCUCGGUCAUGUUCUCCAUGU